rnacentral:rRNA from 1 species
AAUUAACGUAGACGAAAGUUACGCUAAUACCGCAUACGUCCUGAGGGAGAAGCGGGGGACCGUAAGGCCUCGCGCGAUUGGAGCGGCCGAUGUCGGAUUAGCUAGUUGGUAGGGUAAAGGCCUACCAAGGCGACGAUCCGUAGCGGGUCUGAGAGGAUGAUCCGCCACACUGGGACUGAGACACGGCCCAGACUCCUACGGGAGGCAGCAGUGGGGAAUUUUGGACAAUGGGCGAAAGCCUGAUCCAGCCAUGCCGCGUGAGUGAUGAAGGCCCUAGGGUUGUAAAGCUCUUUUACCCGGGAUGAUAAUGACAGUACCGGGAGAAUAAGCUCCGGCUAACUCCGUG